rnacentral:lncRNA from 1 species
UGUAGAUCUCCUUCGAACAUACUCAAAAACUGAACACCUCUAUCAGCUGUGGUUUAAGUCAGCAUGCUACAGUCAAAGUUUCUGUCAUGUGAUUCCUACGUCAAACUCUCAUGUUUCGAGUCAGUUUUUUUCUAUAGUCAGUCCAGUGAUAUAACAAGAGCAGCUGUCUCAGUCUUCGUCUUGAAACUUCAUUACAGACAAUAACCUUCAUUGGAGACAAAUUCAACAAUGAUUUGUUUUUUAUUAUCUUGUCAUCUUAUAGGUUUUUCACUGGGGGUUCAGAUACAUCAGUCUCCCUCUGAUGUCAUCAGAGAAGCUGGCGAGAAUGUGCAACUUUACUGCACACAUGGAAAAAGUGACUACAGAGUGAUGCUGUGGUACCAGAAGUCAACAGAGGACACAGCUCUAAAACUUCUUGGUUAUGGAUACACACAAUUUAAUGAUGACAGCGUCGAAGAGCCGUUCAGAAAACAUUUCAAAUUGGCUGGAGAUCUGACAAGCAACACAAAAAAUGGCUCACUCUCCAUAACUGAUCUAAACGCGCUCAAACAUAAUGCAGUAUACUUCUGUGCAGCCAGUGAGGCACAGUUCACCAAACAGCCAUCUGCUCUUAACAAGAACCACUUCCUCCCCAUCCUCUGAAUACAGAUGAACAAAUGAAACUAGGUUUCUCUGUGACAACCUCCAGUUCCUCCUCCUUAUCCACAAAGUACAGAUGUUACUCUAGUUGGUUUCUUACUUUCUUCAAAAUGAUGCCAUCUCAUCUCAUCAUAUCCAUCCUCACUGUGCUCUUAAUAAGAGGUGUUUACCUCAGUAAAGAAAAACAAGUAUUUCAGACUCCAGCUGACCUUUUCAUGAAACCAAAUGUUCAAGCCAACCUGAGCUUGACUCAUCAAAUCCCAAGCUAUGACACAAUUCUCUGGUAUCAGCGCUCAGCAGGAGACACUUCCCUAAAGCUAAUUGGUUAUGUGAGUUACAGAAAUCCUACAAUUGAGAAAGCAUUUCAAAGCUACUUUAACGUAAGUGGGGAUGGUGAGAAAACAGCCUAUCUUCACAUCUUGAGGCCAAGACACCCUGAAGACAGUGGAGAAUAUUUUGGAGCAGCGAGUAUGCACUGUAACCAAAAAAAUUGAAUCACUCAUACAAAAACCUCCACAAUGGAUACAGCAGAUAAAAC